CCAGAAAAGGGAAUCAAAGAUCCCCCCAGGGGAAGGAAGGGAGAGGAAAGCAAAGGUAGAUGUUAGAACAGAGUAGAUGUUAGAAUAAGGGGCACUUGUGUCUCUAGGGAACCCGGACUGUCCGAUGGCACAGGCGGGUUAGGGUUAGUAGAAUAUCUCUUUGAUCCUCCCCGUUUGGUCCGCCGACUCAACGGUUUGGUGUAGAGGGUCAAAGGAAAUGCACGGGCCGACGCAUAUCGCUACUAGGCUCCCCGUACAAUGUGCCCCAUCUACAACAGUAGUUCUAUUUUUAGUCCCGUAGGUUAGGGUUAGGUUUUGGAGUAUAUUUUGUUCCUCUUUCUAGGGUGUAGGGUUCUGGAUCCGGAUUAAUACAGAGUAUGAUUAACCUUCUGAUGUUUUUAGAUUGUAUUUUAAAGGUUAAGAUUGAGGUCUCAUUAGGUUAAAUUAAGGGGUUUGUCAAAUGGUAUGAGGUCCCAGUUAGGGUUAGGGGUAGGAUAGAUAAGGUUAAGGUUGAGGUCUGAUAAGGGUAAAUUAAGGGGUUUGUUAAUGGUAUGAGGUCCCAAUUAGGGUUAGGGGUAGGAUAUAAAAGGACUAAGGUUAGGGUUAGGGUUUCGGGUUAGGGUUAGGGCAAGAGAUGGGAGAGGUUAG